AUCCAGACUCCUACGGGAGGCAGCAGUGGGGAAUAUUGCACAAUGGGGGAAACCCUGAUGCAGCGACGCCGCGUGAGUGAAGAAGUAAUUCGUUAUGUAAAGCUCUAUCAGCAGGGAAGAAAAUGACGGUACCUGAGUAAGAAGCCCCGGCUAACUACGUGCCAGCAGCCGCGGUAAUACGUAGGGGGCAAGCGUUAUCCGGAUUUACUGGGUGUAAAGGGAGCGUAGACGGCAGUGCAAGUCUGGAGUGAAAGCCCGGGGCUCAACUCCGGGACUGCUUUUGAAACUGUGUUGCUAGAUUGCAGGAGAGGUAAGUGGAAUUCCUAGUGUAGCGGUGAAAUGCGUAGAUAUUAGGAGGAACACCAGUGGCGAAGGCGGCUUACUGGACUGUAAAUGACGCUGAGGCUCGAAAGCGUGGGGAGCAAACAGGAUUAGAUACCCUCGUAA
rnacentral:rRNA from 1 species